rnacentral:rRNA from 1 species
UACGGAGGGCGCAAGCGUUAUCCGGAAUUAUUGGGCGUAAAGAGCUCGUAGGCGGUUUGUUGCGUCUGCCGUGAAAGUCCGGGGCUCGACUCCGGAUCUGCGGUGGGUACGGGCAGACUAGAGUGAUGUAGGGGAGACUGGAAUUCCUGGUGUAGCGGUGAAAUGCGCAGAUAUCAGGAGGAACACCAAUGGCGAAGGCAGCACUCUGGGACGUGACUGACGCUGAGACGCGAAAGCGUGGGGAGCAAACAGG